UUUGAGUAUUUGCAAGAAAGUGGCGUGA
rnacentral:piRNA from 1 species